rnacentral:rRNA from 1 species
AGUGAACGCUGGCGGUAGGCCUAACACAUGCAAGUCGAACGGCAGCACAGUAAGAGCUUGCUCUUACGGGUGGCGAGUGGCGGACGGGUGAGGAAUACAUCGGAAUCUACUUUUUCGUGGGGGAUAACGUAGGGAAACUUACGCUAAUACCGCAUACGACCUACGGGUGAAAGCAGGGGAUCUUCGGACCUUGCGCGAUUGAAUGAGCCGAUGUCGGAUUAGCUAGUUGGCGGGGUAAAGGCCCACCAAGGCGACGAUCCGUAGCUGGUCUGAGAGGAUGAUCAGCCACACUGGAACUGGGACACGCUCCAGGCUCCUACGGGAGGCAGCAGUGGGGAAUAUUGGACAAUGGGCGCAAGCCUGAUCCAGCCAUACCGCGUGGGUGAAGAAGGCCUUCGGGUUGUAAAGCCCUUUUGUUGGGAAAGAAAAGCAGCAGGUUAAUACCCCGCUGUUCUGACGGUACCCAAAGAAUAAGCACCGGCUAACUUCGUG